rnacentral:misc_RNA from 1 species
UUUCUGGCUUAGUUGAUGAUAUUGUACAUUGUACUGAACUUGAGCUUGUACCAGCUGCUGUUGAUGCUUCCCUCCAGACGAUUGCUCAUGUUUCUGUGUCCUCUGAAUUUCAGGAUAACUUACUUAAGGCUGGUGUUUUGUGGUACCUGUUGCCACUGUUGUUUCAAUAUGAUUCUACUGCAGAAGACACAGACAAAUCUGAAGCUCAUGGUGUUGGUGUUAGUGUUCAAAUUGCAAAGAAUAUGCAUGCUGUACGGUCAGCUCAGGCUUUGGCAAGACUCAGUGGUUUGGGUACGGAUGAGAAUCAGACACCAUAUAAUAAGGUUGCAGCUGAUGCGCUUAGCGCAUUGCUGACACCAAAGCUUGCCAGUAUGCUGAAAGAUAAAUCUCUCAAAGACUUGUUAUCCAAACUAAAUUUGAACCUGGAGAUCCCAGAGAUAAUUUGGAACACUUCAACCCGCGCAGAACUGUUAAAGUAUGUUGACAAGCAGCGUGAUAGCCAGAGUCCUGAUGGUUCAUAUGACCUAAAAGAUUUGCAUUCCUUCACAUAUGAAGCAUUGGCUAAGGAACUUUUUGUUGGAAAUGUAUACUUGAGAGUGUACAAUGACCAACCAGAUUAUGAAACUAGUGAACCUGAGGUCUUUUGUGUAGCUCUUGUUGAUUUUAUAUCAUGUCUGGUACGGAGUGAUGCUGCAGUGGGAACAGAUACUCCUUCAAUCACUGGGACAUCAGAGUUCCAAAAUGAUACGAUUAAUGAACCACAUAAUGAAGAGCAGUUAUCUAAUGAUGAUUCAACUUCUUCAGAUGUGAAACAGAUGAAGAAAGAGGAAAAUGAAUUGGUUAAUAAAUUUCGCUUUGCUCUAACCGCACUCCAGAAUCUCCUGACAAGCAACCCAGAUUUGGCAUCAGUUUUUUCUGCGAAAGAAAAAUUGUUACCAAUUUUUGAAUGCUUUGCUGUUCCUGUUGCUUCAACAACCAAUGUUCCUCAACUGUGUUUAAGUGUCCUGUCACGCUUGACAACACACGCUCCUUGCUUGGAUGCAAUUGUGUCUGAUGGAUCCAGUCUGCUUCUUCUAUUGCAAAUGCUUCACUCCUCUCCUAGCUGUCGCGAAGGAGCUCUCCAUGUUCUGUAUGCUUUAGCUAGCACACCAGAGCUUGCAUGGGCAGCUGCUAAACAUGGUGGAGUGGUCUACAUUCUCG